GAGAAUAUGAGAGAGUGGGGGGUCAAACCUGCUCUUUUGUUUCUUGUGAACUAGUUGUUGGUCUGUUAUUUUUGAGUUGGGGAGGGGGGAAGAUCAAGGAGUAUGACUAGCUGUUGGGUUACUGUUUGUCAUGGCUAGUGCUGCAACUUUAUGGACCUCUUUUUUCCUUGGCUUGAGAGUAACAUGCUAGCAAUUUUUACUGUUUGUCAUUUUUUUUUUUUUACUGUUGUUAAAUAAGA
rnacentral:misc_RNA from 1 species